CAUGAAUCCAAACCGUGCCUUCAGUGUGUGUGUGUGUCAUUGUGAAGGGCGGGGUUGGCAUCUGAAACGUGCUGCUCCUACACGCCACUCAUCGGGUCCACUUAACUCCCAAGUAGGAACGAGAGUGGCUGAGUGGCGCGGAUGGAGAAGGGAAAAGCAAUAAAAGGAUUCAAGUUUUGUCAUUGACAGUAAACUGAUUAAAGCAGCGUGUGGAGUAGAGGGCCACGACACGCGACGAGACGGGAUCUGGAAGAGCACACAUCAACAUACAUCUUGCCCUCCCAGUCAUUCCGCCGGCAGAUCUCCUUCAGCAUCUAGCACCCCUCUCUCUCUGUCUCUCAAGGGAGUGACACCAUCAAAGUUAAUCUUCUGAAUGGUGAUGAGAGUACGACACUUGAUACUUUAUUUAAGAAACGCUGUAACAUGAUUUCAAUGAGCAAAAGGAACACAAUAACACUGGAAGGUCUUAGCUACUCAGUCACUCCUGCCAUCAGUAUUAUCCUUAAAAACUAUGCUCGACAUUUGCAACAGAGUAUUCUAUUUAGCUUGAGGGAAACCAGUAGCAAGUGGAACGAUUAAUAAUGAAGUUUCUAAACCAUCACGACAACAAGACGUGAACACCACCACCAGUACCACCGCCACCACCAGUGCUGCCAGUAACACGCAGAUGGAAAAUUGAGACAAAACGUGCAGAGGAAAACUGAUCACCGGAGAGCAAUAUUUUUUUUCGGGCCGAUAAUGGGAGGCAGUUGUGCGUCGCCGAGGGAGGGAGUGUAUUGAGCGCAAUCCAUUCAGGCGGGCACGGGACGAGGCCUAAAUGAAAUAUCUCCUACUUCUUUUACUCUUCGUCCUUCGCCCUCGUCGUUGCUGGUGCUUUCCCUCCUCCAACCUCGUCCUUUUUCUCCGUUUUCUGAUUUUCGUCACAGAUUAUUUUCGUCGUCGUUGUCGUUGUUGUUUUUUCCCUUCCAACCUCGUCCUCUUUCUCCGUUUUCUGAUUUUCGUCACAGAUUAUUUUUGUCGUCGUUGUUUUUUCCCUUCCAACCUCGUCCUCUUUCUCCGUUUUCUGAUUUUCGUCUCAUAGAUUAUUUUCUCCUUGCUUUCGUUGUCGUCGUCAUCCUCCUCCUCCUCCUCCUCCUCCUCCUCCUCCUCCUCUUCCUCCUCCUCCUCCUCCUCCUCCUCCUCCUCUUCCUCCUCCUACUCCUUCAUACGUGUUUACUUCUUCCCCAAGGAAUCAUUAUUUAUCAGCAGUUCCUUCCCUCCACAUUCUAACAGUACCUUUCCUUCCUCCUUUCUUCCGUCCUUCUCCACUUUUGCCGCCUGCUUCCCUCCUUCCUUCCUCCAUCUUUCCUCCUUCCCUUUUUUUCAUUUAUUUAUUUUUUUUUUUUUCCAUUUGAAGUGUAAUGGGAUUGGCAACUCGUCAAUUUUUCUUUUUCCUUUUCUCUCUUCUUUGACUCUUUUCCUUCCUCUCUACGCUGCCUUCCACUUCUUUACCUCUGUGGGACCUUGAUGCCUUUCUUAAUGGCUUCUGAGUAGAGGAGGAGGAGGAGGAGGACGAGGACGAAGAGGAAAAGAGGAGGAAGAGGAAAUGUGUCAGAUCCAGAGUCACCAUGUUGCUCUCUCUCUCUCUCUCUCUCUCUCUCUCUCUCUCUCUCUCUCUCUCUCUCUCUCUCUCUCUCUCUCUCUCUCUCUCUGAUUCCUUCCCCAUCUCGAAUGCAUUGAUUUCUCUAUUUAUUUUGCUCCAAUCUCCAUGACGUUUAGUUCCAGAAGAGAAAUCACUUGAGAGGAAUAAAAGCCAAGAGGAAGGAGAGGUUAAAGCUUUUCGUCCCUUCUCUUUCUCCUCUUCCUCUUCUUCUCUAUCUCUUACUCUUCCUCCUCAUCUUUCUUUCGUUGUGGAGGCAAGAUUUUAAUUAUUCAAUCCAUUUUUCCCCUUUUUCCUCUUUCCAUGUUAUCAUCUUCGACAUUCCCUCCUCUUCCUCGUUUUCUUUCUCCUAUCAGUGUGAUUCAUUUUCCUAUUUUCCUUCUCUACUCAUCAUCGUGAAAGAAAACGAACUUAGCUUUCGUUUUCUUUUUGCUUAUAUAUUUCCCAUUUUCCUCUCCUCUUCUCGUUACUUGUACCUACUCCUCUUAGUCCUAUUCUUCCGUUCUUUGUAUUCCUCUUCCUCCUCCUCGUACUCCCAUUCUUCCUGUCAUUUCAAUCACUCGUACCCAUUUCUCUCUCCCUUCCUUCCUUCCUCUCUGGCGUAAAAGAAAACAAAGAUUCCUGGAUAUUUUUCAAGGGUGACUUUCCUAAAUAAUCGGAGUGGAAUGGGACGUCCCAAAACCCGAGUCCACUGUCAUUGAAUAAAUCUAUUCCACGGAACACUCACAGUCUCUCCUCCUCCUCCCCAUCUCCAUAUCGCUCCUCCUCUUGUCUUUCCUUCUCCCUUUCCCUAACCUCUCAGUUUUUCCUUCUUCCUUUUUGCUCUUCUCUCCUUCCUAAUUAGUUAUCUUUCUUUUCCUCCAUUCCCUUUAAAUUUGUUGUUUAGGAGAGA